rnacentral:rRNA from 1 species
GAUGAACGCUGGCGGCGUGCUUAACACAUGCAAGUCGAACGGAAAGGCUCCUGCUUGCAGGGGUACUCGAGUGGCGAACGGGUGAGUAACACGUGGGUGAUCUGCCCUGCACUUCGGGAUAAGCCUGGGAAACUGGGUCUAAUACCGGAUAGGACCACAUUUUGGAUGGUGUGGUGGAAAGAUUUUCGGUGUGGGGCGAGCUCGCGGCCUAUCCGCUUGUUGGUGGGGUAAUGGCCUACCAAGGCGUCGACGGGUAGCCGGCCUGAGAGGGUGUACGGCCACAUUGGGACUGAGAUACGGCCCAGACUCGUACGGGAGGCAGAAGGGGGGAAGAUUGCACAAGGGGCGCAAGCCUGAUGCAGCGACGCCGCGUGGGGGAUGACGGUGUUCGGGUUGUAAACUCCUUUCGCUAGGGACGAAGCGUUUUUGUGACGGUACCUUGAGAAGAAGCACCGGCUAACUACGUG